AACGAACGCUGGCGGCAGGCUUAACACAUGCAAGUCGAACGCAUCCUUCGGGGUGAGUGGCAGACGGGUGAGUAACGCGUGGGAACGUGCCCUUCAGUUCGGGAUAACCCAGGGAAACUUGGGCUAAUACCGGAUACGUGCGAGAGCAGAAAGAUUUAUCGCUGAAGGAUCGGCCCGCGUCUGAUUAGCUAGUUGGUGGGGUAAUGGCCCACCAAGGCGACGAUCAGUAGCUGGUCGGAGAGGAUGAUCAGCCACAUUGGGACUGAGACACGGCCCAAACUCCUACGGGAGGCAGCAGUGGGGAAUAUUGGACAAUGGGCGCAAGCCUGAUCCAGCCAUGCCGCGUGAGCGAUGAAGGCCUUAGGGUUGUAAAGCUCUUUCGUCCGGGACGAUAAUGACGGUACCGGAAGAAGAAGCCCCGGCUAACUUCGUGCCAGCCGCCGCCGUAAUAC
rnacentral:rRNA from 1 species